rnacentral:rRNA from 1 species
GUCCACACAGUAAACGAUGAAUACUCGCUGUUUGCGAUAUACAGUAAGCGGCCAAGCGAAAGCAUUAAGUAUUCCACCUGGUGAGUACGCCGGCAACGGUGAAACUCAAAGGAAUUGACGGGGGCCCCGCACAAGCGGAGGAACAUGUGGUUUAAUUCGAUGAUACGCGAGGAACCUUACCCGGGCUUGAAUUGCAGAGGAAUAUAGUUGAAAGAUUAUAGCCGCAAGGUCUCUGUGAAGGUGCUGCAUGGUUGUCGU